UGGGGAAUAUUGGACAAUGGGGGCAACCCUGAUCCAGCAAUGCCGCGUGUGUGAUGAAGGCCUUAGGGUUGUAAAGCACUUUCACUGGUGAAGAUGAUGACGGUAACCAGAGAAGAAGCCCCGGCUAACUUCGUG
rnacentral:rRNA from 1 species